rnacentral:sRNA from 1 species
CAAAUAGUCGACUAGGGUUCCGGCCUGUCCCUCCAAGCGAGUCAAGACAGGCGACUGGUCCGAGAGUUGACGGCCUUUUCCAAGGCUACACGGCGGGACAAAAGCCCGGGAGGA